GCUGGGAACAGUGAUGUGCACCUGUAUUCUCAGCUACUUAGAAGCUGAGACAGGAGGAUGGCUUGAGCCCAGGAAUUCUGGCCCACUUGGGCAACAUAGAGAGACCCUCCU
rnacentral:sRNA from 1 species